rnacentral:lncRNA from 1 species
GGCUGACAGAUUGCACUGAAGAGAAACCUAACAUUUGUGGGACGACUAACCUGCCAUCUGUGUUCUCCAAAUCUCAAACUUUCUGGCUGAUUUCAAACAACCCAAGGAGGCGGAGUAGAGGCAAGAAGGAUCCUUCAUCUCAUGCAAAUUUCAAUAAAAUAUGGACCAGAUAAAGGCAACCAAUGCUGCGAGUGGCUCCGCUGAGAGAAAGAAGUUCACUCUUAAU